ensembl:lncRNA
UUUAUUAUUUAUUUAAUUUAUUUUUUUCCAAAAAAUAUAUGGGGGAUUGGAAAUGAUGCAGACAAUUACAUUCAUAGCUCAUAGAAGCCACAGUCUAUCUGCAAUAUUAAAGUUGACAUACCACCUGUGUAUAUAUAUAACAAUAUGUUACUAGGACAAGACGAGUUGUUUACAAUUCAACCAAAAAUGGUGGAAGUGAAAUGUCGCUCUUGUAUUUUUCACAGCUAAAAGUAUUUUAUAUAAAAUGUAUAAACUUUGGCUACUCUGUUUUUACUAAUCUGAGUCUAAUCUGAUGCUUGUGUGAAAAUACAACAAUAACUAGAGAAGUACAUAUCCUGAAGAAAAUGUGGUGUGCAUGCUAGCUUGUGAAUGAUCGAUUGAUUGGUAGGAUAGGAUAGCCUGAACAUGUGAAAGUUGCCUGGUGUCUGUAGUGUGAAUGAUUCAAAAGUUACUGUUGGUGAGUUAUUUUAUGCUAAUUUAUGCACAUACAGUACAUGGAAUUAUAGUUCAUUCAAGUUUUAAAGAAUUUACAUUUAGGAUAGCCUGAACAUGAGGAAGUUAGUUUGAUGUCUCUAGCUUGAACGGUUCAAGAGUCACUGUUGUUGAGUUAUUUUAUGCAAAUAUAUGCAACUGUGAAUAGUUAUAAUACAUGUUUUAACAUUAUUGAAUUGGAUAUUAGGAUAGCCUGAACAUGUGAAAGUUGGUUUGGUGUCUCUAAUUUGAACAGUUUAAGAGUUACUGUUGGUGAUUUAUUUUAUCCUAAUUUAUGCACAUUUAUAUAGUUAUAAUUGAUAAAGAUCUGAAAUCAUUUGAAGUUUAGGAUGCCCUGAAUGGUUUACAGUUGGUCUUAUAGCUUAAAUGGCCUGGGAGGAAGACCAUUUUAAAUAGUCACCACUAUUACUGUGGUUCUAAUUCGAACCCAUGUUAUUUAUGUAAAUGUUAAAUGCAUAUAGUUUAAAAUGUAAAAAAGGCUAUGGAGCUUUUAUUAACAUUUAAAACAGUUAUAGUUCAAAAAGUAUAAAUGAUCCAAAUUUGAAAUCCAAUCAAUUUAUGUUGGGUCAGUUUGAACAUCUCGACGUUGGUUUGGCAUUGAUAGCUUAAGUGGUGUAAGAGGAGACAAGUGUCAAAUUAAGAUUUUUUUUUUUACCAUUCAAGUCCAUGUAUCAUUUUCAGUUAAAAAUAAUAAAUGCUAUAAAAAAAAUUCCUCAACAAUCUAUGUUGGAGUAUUCUGCACAUCUGGAAGUUGGUUUCGUGUUAAUAGCAUAAAUCAUUUAAGGGCUACAGAGCAAGCCGAAGAAAUUAAACAAGG